rnacentral:rRNA from 1 species
AGUGAACGCUGGCGGUAGGCCUAACACAUGCAAGUCGAACGGCAGCACAGUAAGAGCUUGCUCUUACGGGUGGCGAGUGGCGGACGGGUGAGGAAUACAUCGGAAUCUACUUUUUCGUGGGGGAUAACGGAGGGAAACUUACGCUAAUACCGCAUACGACCUACGGGUGAAAGCAGGGGAUCUUCGGACCUUGCGCGAUUGAAUGAGCCGAUGUCGGAUUAGCUAGUUGGGGGGGUAAAGGCCCACCAAGGCGACGAUACGUAGCUGGUCUGAGAGGGUGAUCAGCCACACUGGAACUGAGACACGGUCCAGACUCCUACGGGAGGCAGCAGUGGGGAAUAUUCGACAAUGGGCGCAAGCCUGAUCCAGCCAUACCGCGUGAGUGAAGAAGGCCUUCGGGUUGUAAAGCCCUUUUGUUGGGAAAGAAAAGCAGCAGGUGAAUACCCCGCUGUUUUGACGGUACCCAAAGAAUAAGCACCGGCUAACUUCGUG